UGUUUUUUAAUAAAAAAACUGUAAUUGAGUCUAACAAACUCCUUUCAGGGCCCCCCAGGGACAGGGAAGACUCAGACCAUUCUUGGGAUUCUAAGUACCAUUUUGCAUGCAACUCCUACAAGAGUGCAUUCAAAGACCUAUGAGCUAAGGCAGGGACCACAGAUGCCUGUUGAGGAGAAACAAAGACAUUGGGUACUAGCAUCUCCAUGGCUUAGUGGUAUUAAUCCAAGAGAUAGUUUGAUGCCGAAAGAUGGUGAUGAUGGUUUUUUUCCAACUACUGGAAAUGAAUUAAAACCUGAAGCUGUAACUUCAAGUCGUAAGUAUCGUGUAAGAGUGCUUGUAUGCGCCCCAUCAAACUCUGCCCUUG